GAUGAACGCUGGCGGCGUGCCUAAUACAUGCAAGUCGAGCGAACAGACGAGGAGCUUGCUCCUCUGACGUUAGCGGCGGACGGGUGAGUAACACGUGGAUAGCCUACCUAUAAGACUGGGAUAACUUCGGGAAACCGGAGCUAAUACCGGAUAAUAUAUUGAACCGCAUGGUUCAAUAGUGAAAGACGGUUUUGCUGUCACUUAUAGAUGGAUCCGCGCCGCAUUAGCUAGUUGGUAAGGUAACGGCUUACCAAGGCAACGAUGCGUAGCCGACCUGAGAGGGUGAUCGGCCACACUGGAACUGAGACACGGUCCAGACUCCUACGGGAGGCGGCAGUAGGGAAUCUUCCGCAAUGGGCGAAAGCCUGACGGAGCAACGCCGCGUGAGUGAUGAAGGUCUUCGGAUCGUAAAACUCUGUUAUUAGGGAAGAACAAAUGUGUAAGUAACUAUGCACGUCUUGACGGUACCUAAGCAGAAAGCCACGGCUACCUACGU
rnacentral:rRNA from 1 species